ensembl:processed_transcript
CAGACAUUAACCAUGGCUGUUCAGAAGAAAAGUCAUAUUUCAAUUUUAAAAUGGAGGACAACAGAUGAACUAAAAAUUUGCCGUGGCUUUUGGAGAAGCUGUCAUCUGAACUUACUUCAUCCCUCACCACCCCCUGAAAAUAUCCUCAGCAUAAAUUCUGUUCAACCUAGUUUUUCUGGAUGGAUGGUUCCAUUAUGUGUCUGAGCGCAGCUGCAGAAUGAGCCCAGUAUUGUCAGGUGUCUGUGUGAGACGGCACACGUAGGAGUCCCUGAGGAGAUGCUGACUGUCUCUGUCUGCCUGUCUGGAAGAUUGUGUGAGCGGAUGAUGCAUUGCCUCUGUGUUUGUGCCCUUGGUUCAGCUGUCUGUCUCUCACAUGUAAAGGCAAUAAUCAAACACCUGACUUUGUGGAGAAGUGAGUGACCUCUUGAAAAAAAAA